UAAAAAUGGAGAGCCUUACCACAGCCUGGGUCCUGUCCCUGCCUGAGUCAUGCUAGAGAGACAGGGAGGGGACGGCAAGAGCCCGAAGCCCCUCAGAUCUCAAGCUGGCCAAGGCCUUGGGUGUGACAUUUCUGAAGUCAUCACCGAUGAGCUCAGGCAGAGGCGCGCCUGGGGACAGGAUCUUGAGACUGGAACAGAAAGGCCUACACCUCAUCUGAGAUUCUCAGCGCAACUGUGACCUUUGUGCCGCGUGUCUUAAAGCAAUCAAAGAACCAGAAGAUCCUAGACCACUCUGCGGCACAGUGAGAGGCGCUUCAGGAACCUUCUCUGGAAACUGGAGGUGGUGUCGUUAUGAGUGCUUCCUCCAAAAUGCUGUGACGAGACCACUUGUUAGUUCCGUAACUGAGUGAGUUACUCAACUGCUCUGUGUCUGAGUUUUCUCAUCUGUAGAGUGGGAAUAGUCGUAGUACCUGCCUCAACAGGAUGUUGAGGAUCAGGUUAACAUUCCCCCAGGCACAUCGUGAACACUGUACAAUGUUUUCUUUUUUCUUUUCUUUUGAAGUAAUCUCUCCGCCCAGCGUGGGGCUCGAACUCGUGGCCCCAAGAUCAAGAGCCGCACGCUCUACUGGCUGAGCCAGCCGGGCGCCCCUAUGCAAGUGUCGUGGUUGUUCGUGUCGUUAUUUAUGAUAAAAUGUUGUUCAUGUUGUUGUUUAUAAUAGAACGUUGGCAUCGUUUACAUUGGGCAGAGGUGAUGAAAUGUCCUAUCGAGCUCUCGUGUUAUCCUUUCUCUGGCUUUGGUUCGGACCUGACUUCCUUACUCAGCUCAUGUUGAAUGACCCUGAGCACAGAAUCAGGGCCAGUUCAUGCAGCCACACGGGGUCCCGUGGGGCCGACUCACCAGUCCACUGUCAGCCGCCUGAAACUCCCGAUAACGUUUGAAAAGGGACUUUGCGUUUUCAUCUUGCGCGGGGCCCCACUGAUUUCUGUGGCCAGACCUCCUUGGAGUCACAAC